rnacentral:rRNA from 1 species
GCUCAGGAUGAACGCUAGCUACAGGCUUAACACAUGCAAGUCGAGGGGUAGCAGGGUAGCAAUACCGCUGACGACCGGCGCACGGGUGAGUAACACGUAUCCAACCUUCCCAUAACUCGGGGAUAGCCUUUCGAAAGAAAGAUUAAUACCCGAUAGUACUUUAUCAAGGCAUCUUUUUAAAGUUAAAGAUUUAUUGGUUAUGGAUGGGGAUGCGUUCCAUUAGAUAGUUGGUGAGGUAACGGCUCACCAAGUCUUCGAUGGAUAGGGGUUCUGAGAGGAAGGUCCCCCACAUUGGUACUGAGACACGGACCAAACUCCUACGGGAGGCAGCAGUGAGGAAUAUUGGUCAAUGGGCGAGAGCCUGAACCAGCCAA